UUGACAAAUCGACCUCAAAUCAGGUAGGACUACCCGCUGAACUUAA
rnacentral:rRNA from 1 species